AGUAUUAGUUUUGGAUGAUUUGGAUUUGUAUUGACUUUGUAAGAGCUUUGCAAAGUCAAGGUUUUUUUUGGAUAACUCUGGAUUUGUGAAAUAAAAUAGAAGAUAUAUUUUAGAUAAUUUCAUAAGUUUGGCAAUAGAUCUAUAGGUGAAAUUUUAAGAAACUCUGGGUUUAUAUGUGCUUAAUAUAUGCUGUGUGUUUGGGCUUCAUCAAAGAGUUGGAUCAAGGAUUAUUGAGAUUUAAGUAGGUCAAGGUCUCAAAAAGUAGAGUUUUAGGUCUAAUAAGGGUUUCUAAGUUUUCUUGUAAUCUAUCAAUUGAAUUAGAGUGAAAAUUAUGUAUAUGAAUAAUAGACCUAUUUUUCUAUAUAUGUAAGAAAUUUGAGAUCAAUUGAAUGGUUCAAUAAAGAGAUAUUGGCACCAGAAAUUCAACAUUCAGAUUGGAGAAGGAGGCUAGCCAACAUCUUAGAAAAUAUUAGGAUUGAUCUUCUUUUUGGUGAAUUUGGUCUUCUUCAAAAAAAAAAUUUCUUGUUGUCAAUUUAACUAUUAAGAGGUAUGAAAAAUUUAAGUUAAAAUCAAUGGUUCAUUCAUUAGUUAUUGAGGUUUAAAUCUGCUAUAGAAAUUACUAGGAUUUGAUUAAGGUUUAUUUAGGAUUUGGUUAAAGUUUGUUUAGGAUUUGAUUAGGAUUUGGUUAGGAUUUUUUUAGGAUUUUUUUAGGAUUUUUUUUAGGAUUUGAUUAGGAUUUGUUUAAAAUUUAUUUAAAAUUUAUUUAAAAUUUGAUUAGGAUUUGUUUAGGAUUUAUCUAGGAUUUGGUUAGGAUUUUUUAGGAUUUUUUAGAGUUUGACUAGGAUUUAUUUAGAAUUUGGUCAGGAUUUAUUAAGAUUUUUUAGGAUUUGAUUAGAAUUUAUUAGAGUUUAUUAGGAUUUGAUUAGGAUUUAUUUAAGAUUUGAUUAGGAUUUGAUUAGAAUUUGAUUAGGUUUUGACUAUGAUUUAAUUAAGAUUUAUAUUUUAAUAUUUUAUUAAUAUUUCUAUUUUAAUAUAUUUUCGAAUUUUAUAUUAUUUCUU
rnacentral:lncRNA from 1 species